rnacentral:rRNA from 1 species
AUUCAUUUGAAUAGUAUUAGUUAUGAUCUUUUAAGCUCAAAUAACUUGGCGGUAAAAUACCUAUUUAGAGGAACCUGUAAAUUAAUUGAUAAUCCACGAUAGAUUUUACUUUAUAUUAUAUUUGUAUAUCACUAUAUUUUGGAAUGUUUUGUGAGAAAUUUUCUUUUUCUUAAGAUUUAUGUUAGGUCACGAUGCAGUUUUUAUAAAGUUUUUAUGGGUUACCAUAAUAUUAAAUUUUGAUAGGAAUUUUUUAAAAUUUAAAUUAUGAAUUAGGAUUUAAUAGUAAUUAUAAUUAAUUAAUUAAUUUGAAUAAAUGCUCUGUUUUAUGCACA